rnacentral:lncRNA from 1 species
GUCAACAAAAAAGCCUGAUGGUCACAUCAACGAAGGAGCUGAAAGGGUUUAGACGUAGUGCAAACUGACAAAUGUAUUCAGAUGAUGAUCACACGUAAUAAACACGUCAAACAGACCUGAGAAUCUGGGGGAUCUGGCAACAGAAGCCAUGAUCCAUACCCAGUCUCCUGCGAAAUAGCAACAACUAACAACCUGCAUCUUAAGGACCAGAUUGUCAACUAAAAGAACUCUAGUGACUGAAACGUAACAACUUAAAACCUUAACAAUAAACGACACAGUUUUGCUAACGGUAACUAACGACUCCAACAAAUCCUCCCCUGAACUGAGCACUCUUCUUCAGCUGAGGAACUCAGUUCAUAUCUGCUUCAUCUCCAGGAAGACUGAUCAUUCCAAGCUUGCUUCUCAGCAGUUCAUAAGUAUCCAGUUUUAAUGCCUUGGUCAUGAUGUCUGCCACCUGCUCAUUUGUUCCACAGAACUCCAGCUUAACCACUCCUUCAGUCGCCAGAUCCCUGAGAAAAUGGAACCUAACGUCGAUGUGUUUGCUCCUGCCGUGCAUCACUGGAUUCUUUGACAGCUUAAUAGCUGAGUUAUUAUCACACAAUAUAACUGUUGAGGAUGCAAUGCUUUCCUUCCAUUCGAUCUGCUCCAGAAUCCUCCUCAUCCAUACGCAUUGAGUAGCACAGAAUGAUGCAGCUACAAAUUCUGCUUCUGUGGUUGACAAUGUAACCACUGGUUGUUUCUUUGACGACCAAGAAACAACUGCUCCAGCCAGAAAGAAUAAAUAACCACCUGUGCUUUUGCGAUCAUCCAAAUCACCUGCAUAAUCGCUGUCUGUAUAACCAAGCAGUCGUUGAUCUCCUUUCUUCCUUUGGUAGUGAAUUCCAUAGUUGAGUGUUCCCUUCAGAUACCUCAUUACUCGUUUGGCUGCCAACAUAUGCAAUCUAGUUGGAUUCUCCAUGUACCUGCUAAGUUUGCAUACAGUAUACAUAAUGUCAGGUCGAGUUGCUAUCAUGUACAGCAAACUCCCUAUUAGCUGCUUAUAGUCAGUGGAACUGACUGCCAGUCCAUCUCCAAACUUUGUGAGUUUGAUGCCAGGCACCAUAGGAUUCUUCCCCAUGUUACACUCCAUUAAAUUGAAUUUCUUCAAUAUUUCUCGUGCAUAUUUCUGCUGUCCAAUGAAAAUUCCAUCGACCCCCUGUAUAAUUUCCACUCCCAGGAAAUAUCUCAUUUUUCCCAAGUCAGUCAUCUCAAACUCAGCCUUCAUUGAGUUCUUAAACUCCUCGAUGAGUUGACUGCUGCUACUGACGUACAUCAAGUCAUCCACAUACAGACUCACAAUCAAAAUCUCCUUACCAGUCUUCUUAAUGAACAGGGUGUGUUCAUGAUGGUUUCGUGUGAAACCUGCAGCCAAAAAAUACCCUUCAAUUUUGCUAUACCAAGCUCUUGGAGCUUGCUUCAGUCCAUAAAGAGCUUUCUGCAGCCUGUAUACUUUCAAUUCCUCCCCAGCAACCACAAACCCUUGAGGUUGCUCAACAUAAACUUCCUCAGAAAGCUCUCCAUAGAGGAAGGCACUCUUAACAUCUAAUUGGUAGACUGUGAAUCCAUGAAAUGCAGCGUAGGAUAGCAGAAUUCUAAUGGUGUCCCAGCGAGCAACAGGAGCAAACACUUCCGCAUAGUCAAUUCCAUAUUGCUGCGAGUACCCCUUGGCAACCAGUCUUGCUUUAUGCUUGUCAAUUGAACCAUCCUCCUUGAGUUUGGUUCUGUACAUCCAUUUCAGACCAAGGGGAACAACAUCCAGGGGGCAAGGUACUAACUUCCAAGUGCAGUUCCUGUUUAUUGCCUCCAUCUCCAGUUUCAUCGCUGUGUUCCAUUUUUCAUCAAGUGCUGCUGCUUCAUAGGUUUGAGGGUCCUCUGAGACUGCUACCAUGACACACCAGUCAGUAGCCAUCCAGUUACAGUCAUAGUCAUUCAAAUAUGCUGGAGGUCGCCUUAGUCUUUGUCCAAUGCCCUCAUUUCCAUCACCAGCACCUUCUCCAAUGUCUUCAGUGUCACCUUGAGGACUACUAGUUGCAGGUGUAGGUGACACUUCCUCUUCUGGUUCUUGUUCAUUUUCCUGUCCCUCGUCUUCAUCAGAGUCAUACACAUCAUUUUCCUUUCCUUCCCACAUUAUGUCUGUAAGGAUUGGCUGAAUCUCCUCUUCCCAGUGCCACCCUUUUGUCUCAUCAAACACUACAUCCCUGCUAAUUUUCACUUUUUGUGUAGUUUGACAGUAGAGCUUAUAAGCUUUUGAUUCCACUGAAAUGCCUAGAAAUUGACAAGCAAUGCUCUUGCUGUCGAGUUUCUUCCUAUGCUGGUCAGAUAUGUGAGCAUAGGCAAGACAUCCAAACACUCUUAGAUGAGCCACAGAAGGUGGUGUACCUGUCCAGAUUUCUUGCGGUGUUUUACCUUUGUUGGCUGUUGUUGGACUGCGAUUAAGAAUGUGUGCAGUCCAAACAACUGCCUCAGGCCAAAACGGUGAUGGAACCCUACUAUCCUUCAUCAUACACCUGACCAUGUUCAUUACUGUCCUGUUCUUCCUCUCAGCCACCCCAUUCUGUUGGGGAGUAAGUGCAGCUGUAAGCUGCCUCCUGAUUCCAAUCUCUGCACACAGAUUCCGGAAUUCAUGCAGCAUGAAUUCACCACCCCUAUCAGUUCUCAAGCAUGCAAUAGAUACUCCAGCCUCCUUCUCUACUUGGACCAUGAAUCUUUUGAAUGUUUCAAAAGUUUCUGAUUUAUUUCCCAAAAAGAAUACCCACAGCUUCCUGCUGAAAUCAUCUAUGAUUGUUAGGAUAUACCUUUUGCCUCCAUUGGAGGAUGGUGUGAUAGGUCCACAUAGGUCAGCAUGAAGCAAUUUAAGCUUCUGGUCAGCCCUCCAAUGACUUUUCUUUGGAAAGUUUUUCCUCUGUUGCUUGCCCAUCAGACAAGUUUGACAGACUCCAAGUGUUCCUUUAAGACCAGGCAUGUCUUGAACUCUAUUUCCUUUGCUCAAAUGUAUCAGGCUGUCUUGGCUUAAGUGACCAAACCUGCGAUGCCAUAAGAGAAGAGCUUCACUUGUGGCUCCUUCUGCUUGUAGGCACUGAACAUUCUCCUCUUCAUCCUUUCUCUGUCCAACAUCAGCAUGUAGCACAAACAUUCUGUUUGUUUUCAUCUGAGUGGUAAGCAGCAGCCCCUUCUGCUCGUGAACCAACUUGCAAUAGCCAUCCUUGAUAGAGAAUGCUAUUCCCUUCUCUUGCAACUGUCCAACACUCAGGAGGUUUGUUUUCAAACCUGGUACAUAGAACACCUCUUGUACCACCAAGGUUACUUGAUUCACAGAUAGCUUGACUGUUCCCUUUCCAAUUACAUUCAGCCUGCUAUUAUUUCCUAACCGCACGCUACAUCUGAAAUUCUCAUCUAUAGAUGCAAACCAGCUUUUAUUUCCGCUCAUGUGGUUGCUGCAGCCUGAGUCCAGGAACCACCAGGCAUGAUUGGUCUCAAAUUCCUCCAUUUGAUCAACUGAGGCCAUCAGCAGCACAUCUUCCUUCAGAUCUCCAUAGGAUCUAUCCUGCAGUGGUGACUGACUUGAAUAUUGCUGAUAAGAGAUGUAGUGAGCCUGUUGGUUUGGAUACCAUUCUGGACACUCACUUUUAUAGUGACCCAGUUUGUGGCAUUUGAAACACUCAACUGUUCCUCUUCCUCUAGCUACGUAGCCAUUCCUUCCAAACCCUCGACCUCCUCUACCUGCAGCUUCAUGUGUCACUCUUAGAGCCUGAUUCUCUCCUUCCUUAAACUUCCUCUGAAACUUCUGCUCAUGCACAAGCAGUGAGCUUUGUAGUGCAUCGACAGACAGAAGCUCUAUAUCCUUUGAUUCCUCAAUUGCACAAACAACGUAGUUGAAUUGUUCAGUUAGAGUUCUCAAUAUCUUUUCAACAAUCUGAGCAUCAGUCAGAUUUUCUCCGCAACUUCUCAUUGAAUUUGCCACCACCAUGACUCUCCCAAAGUAGUCAUUGAUUGUUUCUCCCCCUUGCAUUUCCAGUAAUUCAUAAUUCCUUCUCAGUGCUUGCAACUGAGAUUUCUGAACUCGUGCGCUGCCUUGGAAUUUGAUCUUCAUGGCAUCCCACAACUCCUUAGCUGUCCCCUUGUUUGUGAUAGUCUUUAAGAUAGUUUUAUCAAUUGAACUAAACAGAUAGUUCUUGGCUUUCAAGUCCUUCAAUCUCAGUUCUUCCAAGCUCUUUGCUUCUGCCUCUGACAACGUUUUCCCUUCAGCCUUGUCAUUGAAUCCUUCGCUGACAGCCAUCCAGUAUUCCUUCGAACGGAGCAAAUUCUCCAUUAGCAGGCUCCAGUGUUCAAAGUCUCCAUCGAACUUAGGUAUGCAAACCUGUGCGAAGCUGCUGGAUUCACUCAUUCUUCUAAAACUCUUCACUCACUCACUCACUCACUCGAUAUUGGUUACAGGUUGCUAUAGGCUCUGAUACCACAAUGAAAGGGUUUAGACGUAGUGCAAACUGACAAAUGUAUUCAGAUGAUGAUCACACGUAAUAAACACGUCAAACAAACCUGAGAAUCUGGGGGAUCUGGCAACAGAAGCCAUGAUCCAUACCCAGUCUCCUGCGAAAUAGCAACAACUAACAACCUGCAUCUUAAGGACCAGAUUGUCAACUAAAAGAACUCUAGUGACUGAAACGUAACAACUUAAAACCUUAACAAUAAACGACACAGUUUUGCUAACGGUAACUAACGACUCCAA